rnacentral:rRNA from 1 species
UACGGAGGGUGCGAGCGUUGUUCGGAAUUACUGGGCGUAAAGCGCGUGUAGGCGGCUCUUUAAGUCUGAUGUGAAAGCCCGGGGCUCACCCCCGGAAGUGCAUUGGAAACUGGAAGGCUAGAGUACCGGAGAGGAGGGUGGAAUUCCUGGUGUAGCGGUGAAAUGCGUAGAUAUCAGGAGGAACACCGGUGGCGAAGGCGGCCCUCUGGACGGAUACUGACGCUGAGACGCGAAAGCGUGGGGAGCAAACAGG